AUUGAACGCUGGCGGCAGGCCUAACACAUGCAAGUCGAGCGGAUGAGAGGAGCUUGCUUCUCGAUUCAGCGGCGGACGGGUGAGUAAUGCCUAGGAAUCUGCCUAGUAGUGGGGGACAACGUUUCGAAAGGAACGCUAAUACCGCAUACGUCCUACGGGAGAAAGUGGGGGAUCUUCGGACCUCACGCUAUUAGAUGAGCCUAGGUCGGAUUAGCUAGUUGGUAGGGUGAAGGCCUACAAAGGCGACGAUCCGUAACUGGUCUGAGAGGAUGAUCAGUCACACUGGAACUGAGUCACGGUCCAGACUCCUACGGGAGGCAGCAGUGGGGAAUAUUGGACAAUGGGCGAAAGCCUGAUCCAGCCAUGCCGCGUGUGUGAAGAAGGCCUUCGGGUCGUAAAGCACUUUAAGUUGGGAGGAAGGGCUCAUAGCGAAUACCUGUGAGUUUUGACGUUACCAACAGAAUAAGCACCGGCUAACUUCGUGCCAGCCGCCGCGGUAACAC
rnacentral:rRNA from 1 species